GAUGAACGCUGGCGGCGUGCCUAACACAUGCAAGUCGAGCGGUAUAUACUUAAAUGAAACUUCGGUCGAGUGAGAGUAUAGAGAGCGGCGGACGGGUGAGUAACGCGUAGGCAACCUGCCCCAUACACAGGGAUAGCCUCGGGAAACCGGGAUUAAACCUAGAUAAUGCGAAAGAAUUUCAUGAUUCUUUCGCCAAAGAUUUAUCGGUAUGGGAUGGGCCUGCGUCUGAUUAGCUAGUUGGUAAGGUAACGGCUUACCAAGGCAACGAUCAGUAGCCGACCUGAGAGGGUAAUCGGCCACAUUGGAACUGAGACACGGUCCAAACUCCUACGGGUGGCUG
rnacentral:rRNA from 1 species